GACGAACGCUGGCGGCGUGCUUAACACAUGCAAGUCGAACGGAAAGGCCCCCUUUUGGGGUACUCGAGUGGCGAACGGGUGAGUAACACGUGAGUAACCUACCCUUUACUUUGGGAUAACUUCAGGAAACUGGGGCUAAUACCGGCUAGGAGCUCCUGCUGCAUGGUGGGGGUUGGAAAGUUUCGGCGGUUGGGGAUGGACUCGCGGCUUAUCAGCUUGUUGGUGGGGUAGUGGCUCACCAAGGCUUUGACGGGUAGCCGGCCUGAGAGGGUGACCGGCCACAUUGGGACUGAGAUACGGCCCAGACUCCUACGGGAGGCAGCAGUGGGGAAUAUUGCACAAUGGGCGGAAGCCUGAUGCAGCAACGCCGCGUGCGGGAUGACGGCCUUCGGGUUGUAAACCGCUUUCGCCUGUGACGAAGCGUGAGUGACGGUAAUGGGUAAAGAAGCACCGGCUAACUACGUG
rnacentral:rRNA from 1 species